UCAGUCUGUACUCUUUAGUUACAGUUGUUCAACCAGUUACUAAUCUAGCUAAUUGUAACCAGUUGAACAACUGAACCCAAAGGGUGCAAAGUGGUAACAUUUCAUUGAGA
rnacentral:miRNA from 1 species